UGGAGAUGAUAGGAUAGUAGUGUAAAAUAUGCAAAUUCACCAUAAGAUUAAGGAGCCAUAUUUAACAAUGACUACUGUUGAAAUGGUUAUCUAAAUUUCGCAUUCGAAAUAAGGGCCUCUGUUUUUAGGGAAGCUUAUUUGGUAGGGGGCAUAUGAAAUUAGGGAAGCUUAUUUGGAAACUUUAUAUUAUUUGAGUAAGCUUGUGAAGUAAUGUCCAAGAUGACCACUGAUGAUAACAAAUACAUGGUAAGU